GGUUCCGACCAUCGCUGAGGUUGCAGAUCGUGAAAUUUCCCGUAGCUUUCUGCUAUCAAAUUUUUACCUUGAGCUCAAAUAUUGGCUAAUGAGUUGUUUGUUAGGAACCUCUUUGGAAAAAGAAAGUUAUCACUUGAAGUCAACAAAUCUAUAG